UUACAUUCUGAGAAGCAAAAGAAAACUUAGGAGGUGUCUAAUUCAAUCUCUUAAUUGUGCCUAUGAGAAAAUCGAGUAAGAAAAACACAACGACCUACCUAACGCUAUCUGAUUACAAACAAGAAUUGAGAUGGAACCCAAAGAAUGUCACUCUCAGCUCAGUCUUCUCUCUACCAUGUGAAGCAAGGUUCCCACACAUUAAUGAACGUCUCCAAAAAGUAGGGACAGAUGGUAUCAUUAUGGAAACUCAAUGGUUAUUGGGUUUCAUUUAUGAAAGUUGCAUCUUUCCUUAUUUCUCUUAUUUUACUGAAGUCCCAAAAUUAAUCCACUUACCAAAUCAAUUUCACAUUUUCAGGGCAUAUAUUUCAACAGCUAUUUAGAGACGAUUCUUUUUACAAAUGGAAAUCUCCAUACCAUGUACAUACCAGGUUUGAAAGUCAUUUUCAGUCAUCCACUGCAAAGUGAGACAGAAAAACUCAUUUCUACUUUGUUAAGAUGGUGUCACCAACAUAAUAAGGGCUCACAAUUCUAGCUUCUCUCUAACACUCAAAUCCAAAAUUGAUUUUCUUUCCCAGUUUCUUCCCUUGAUUAUUCAUUACUUGGCACAAAAGAAACGUUCAACCUUUCUUCUUUCUCCCAAGAACAUCUUUGAGCAGAGAACACAGUGUAUCAUACAAAAUAUCACACUGACUACAAUCUAACUGGAAACCAUGUGGUCCUGAAAUUUGCUGCUGUCCCUUCUUCUCUUUGCUAGCACCAUAUCCAAAAUUUACAAUCUGCUGGAAAAUAUUUAGAGUCCACAAAUUUGCUCCAGAGACACUCUGGUGGCAAGAAACCUCCUUGGAGAUAUAAUUCUAGAAUUCUCACAAAAUUAAACUCAUCUUUGGGAAGCUUGUCAGCAUUCAGGCUGGGAGUAUCUAGGCAACUAUGAGAUGAAACACAAGACUGGUCAUAGGGCAGCCAGAAAAAGAUAAUAAGAAUGUAAGAAUCACUAAAAUAAAUCAGACCCACAAUCCAUUUGCCUGUGCAUCACUCUCCCUGUGGUACCAAUGAGAACAAGAAUUGACUAAAGAUGCCCCUCUACAAUUCCUGAGUAUUGGUAACAUCAGGCAAUCAGCCUUUCCAGAAGACAAGAGGAAAAAGAGAAAACACCUCUGUUUGAAGCAGGAAAAACAAAGAAAAAAAAAGCAUCAUCAUUAGAACAGACUUAGGACAAAACAUAAUUUAAGAUGUUUAACAGUUGAUCUUGUGCUCAUUUGAAUCUGGCGGAUAUUGUCUUGAGCACUGAACUCCUGAAAUCAAGAGAUAAACAAUGGAGAGAACUGAAAUUAAAAGUUAAAUCCUUG